rnacentral:lncRNA from 1 species
AUGGAUAAACAAUCUCCCGCGAUUGAACAGACUGCAAUGCAAGCUGUUAGUAAACCCAGCAGUGUUAAUGUUGGUGAUCACAAGGAUUCUAAACGUGCAGAAUUGCUUGUUGAUAAACUAAUUACGUUGCAAGCAGAUAGAAAGUCUAAAUUGGAUAACGCCAGCAUAAUUAGAAAAUCAAUGCAAGAUUUAAAAAAUCAAAAACCACAGUUACAAAAUGCUUUGAAGGAAUUGAUAGAAACAUGUAAUGAUGCAAAGCGUAUUCAUGAGUCUUUGUUGAGUUUAUUGCCUGUUGAUGAAAAGGAAAAACAUGAAGUGUGGUUUAAAGCAAAGAUGAUAGCUAAUAAUGAUGUCAUGUCUGAAACAAAGGGCUUUGUUGCAAGGUGUUCUAAAAAGGGUAAUGUUGCUUUGUCAACUGUGUCACCUGAAAUGUUUGAUGCUGGUUUAAAUGUAAAUGGUCAUGGGAGGCCUAAAGCAAAUGUGGGUUUUAAAGCUGUGCAUGAAAAUGGCAAGGGUGGGGAUGGUGUCAAUCAAAACGACAGCGUGUCUAAUAUCAGCAGCGAACGGUCACAUAAAACUGUUAGCAGUGGAAGAUCCAGCACUUCCUCAGCUAGGAUAAAGGCUGAGGCUGAGAGAGCUGCACUUGUGGCUAGAGCUGCAGCUUUGAAGGAAAGACAUGCCCUUGAGGAGCAGGAACAGAAACUGAGGAGGAGAAGGGAGCAGCUUGAUGUAGAUGCAGAGUUGGCUGCAUCUGCUGCUAAGUUGUCUGUGUUACAGGCCGCCGAUCAGAAAGGUUGUUCAGCAGUAUCCUCAAAUGGCAUGAAUUCCUAUGUGGAAAAGGAAAAAAGGAAAAUGCAAUCAAGAAGUGUCCUAAAUCCUACAACAAAGGAAUUUCAACCUCGAUUAUCAAAGCUAGCACAACAUAUCUCCGCAAAAGGACCGUUACCACCUAACAACCCGCUGUCACCAGAGGUGCUCAAAAGGCAAACUGAGCUGUGGUGUAAGGAGGCCUCUAAACAUCAGUACGAUCCACGUGAGCUACAGCAAGGAACAUUGGAACCAGCUGAGUAUCAGCAGCAGGUGACAACCGUGCAACAACACGAACAGCAAAGGUUUUUCACGGACCAGCCAGCCAAUGGAACUCAUUCCCUAGAUCUACUGGCCAUUUUACAAAGACAAAAUGACAUUACCGCUACCCUGGUUCGCCAACAUCAUAUCUCAUCUCUGCCAUUAAGAGAGGUUCCUGUGUUUGAUGGGGACCCUCUCCAAUUCAGACCGUUCACUAGAGCCUUUGAACAAGGUGUGGAAAGCAAAGCUGGAAGUGCAGACUGUCUUUAUUAUUUAGAGCAGUUCACCAGAGGACAGCCACAAGAGUUAGUGCGUAGCUGUCAGCAUAUGGCGCCUGACCAGGGCUACAAAGUGGCGAAAGGUCUUCUGCAGGAACACUUUGGCAAUCCAUAUAAGGUCGCCAUAGCUUAUAUGAAAAGGGCAUUGGCCUGGCAAGUGGUUAAGGCUGAGGAUUUGAGAGCACUGCAAGACUAUUCCUUGUUUUUACGUGGCUGCUGCAAUGUAAUGGGGGAGCUUCAUUAUGUGCAGGAACUGGACAUGCCGGUCAAUAUGAGGACCAUUAUCUCCAAGCUGCCAUAUAAGAUGAGAGAGCAAUGGAGAACUACAGCUCAUGACAUCAUGGAAAGGUCUCAUGACCGAGCCCACAUUAAUGACUUGGUCCAAUUUAUUGAACGCCGUGUCAAAAUCCUUUCGGACCCUCUGUUUGGCGACAUACAGGAUCCACAUACUUCCUCACUACCAAAGCCUUCUUCAAGGUUUAAUUCACAGCCCAGGAGCUAUGUAAGGGGUAACAUUGUUGCUGCUGCUGUGACUGAAGAGUUGUUUGAGGACGUAAAGGAGCAGCCGUUGGGUAUAGAGCACACUGAAGAAGCUAAGUGCCUUUGGUGUGAUCGUCGCCACCUUGUGGAGGAGUGCAAGCAGUUUAAAGGUAAAAUGCACAAGGAGAAGAUCCUCUUCCUGAGACAAAAGGGAGUUUGUUUUGCAUGUCUACGCGCCGGUCACAUGAGCAGGGACUGUGAGGGUCGCUUGGCAUGUAAAAUCUGUGGACAAUCUCACCCUACUGUGCUACAUAUUAAAAGACAAUUGACUCAGGAACAGUUAACAGCUUCACCUGGCCAGCAACAGUCCUCUCCUCAAACAUGCGGACAUAUAGGGGCCGGUAAGGACCAGAGUGUGUUAGCCAUCCUUCCUGUGAAGGUGAAGUCGGCGAAGGGAAGCCAUGUAAUUACAACCUAUGCUUUUUUAGAUCCAGGAAGUUCAGCCACAUUCUGCUCUGAACACCUGAUGCGGAAGUUGAACAUCACAGGCAAAGCAACAAGUUUCAUGUUGCGCACAAUGGGGCAAGAAAGGGUCGUUUCAGCAUUCUCUUUGUCAGGUCUGGAGGUGUCUAAUUUGGACGGUAAUAAUUAUUAUAGCCUUCCUGAAGUAUUUACACAGAAAAAAAUGCCAGUCACUGUGGAUAAUAUGAUCCGGUCGGAGGAUCUGGCUAAGUGGCCUCAUCUAUCAAGUGUGCGCAUCCCAAGUGUGAAGGCAGAUGUUGACCUGUUAAUUGGAACUAACGCACCCAAGGUAUUAGAACCCUGGGAGGUCAUUAAUAGCAGCCAGAAUGGCCCGUACGCUAUUAGGACAGUGCUGGGAUGGGUGGUUAAUGGCCCACUGAGUGGAAACAGUGAUGCAUCAUUAUCCUCAGCCACAGUAAACCACAUUUCUCUGCAAAGGCUUGAAGAUAUGCUUGUCAGUCAAUACAACCAUGAUUUCAGUGAGAAGGCUGCAGAGGGAAAGGAAAUGUCUCGAGACGACAUCAGAUUUAUGGAGAUCAUGGAUUCAGCAGUGCUACAAGAUGGAAGGUACUGUUUAAAGUUACCCUUCAAGAAAAAGGAUGUUUCUCUGCCUAAUAACUUGGUUGUGGUGAAGCAAAGGAUGCAGGGCUUAAGAAGAAGGUUCUUGAGUAAUGACAGCUUGCACCAGGAGUAUGCACAGUAUGUGAAUGGCCUUAUCGUUAACACCUAUGCAGAACUUGUGCCCCAGCAGAAGCUUCAGGGUGAGCCUGGAAGAGUGUGGUACAUCCCUCACCAUGCGGUCCAUCACCCAAGGAAAGGAACACUUCGGGUUGUGUUCGAUUGUGGAGCCACUUUUCAAGGAGCAUCCUUGAAUAAGGAGCUGCUUCAGGGCCCUAACCUCACCAGCUCGCUGCUUGGGGUCCUGUUUCGUUUCAGAGAGGAACCUGUAGCAUUCAUGGGUGAUAUACAAGCCAUGUUCCACCAGGUAAAAGUUGCAGAAGAAGAUCGCGACUUCCUCCGUUUUCUCUGGUGGCCAAACGGAGACGUUACCCAGGACUUGAUGGAGCACAGGAUGACCGUUCACUUGUUUGGUGCUGUGUCCUCUCCCAGUUGUGCAAGCUAUGCACUGAGAAAAAGCGCCGAUGAUCAUCAGUUUGAGCUUGCUGCCAAUGUAUGUCAAGCUGUCAAGAAAAACUUUUAUGUGGAUGACAUUUUGAAGAGCUCCGCCACCGAAGGGGAUGCUAUCCAGAUGAUCAAAGACCUAACUUUACUGUGCCAGAAGGGAGGUUUUGUCUUGGAGAAGUGGAUUAGCAAUAGCCGCGCCGUCUUGCAUGCCAUCGCUACAGAGCGAAGGGCUAAGGAUUUAAAGGAAUUGGAUCUGGAUCGGGACAAGCUGCCAGUGGAGAGAGCUCUGGGUCUAUUGUGGUCUGUAGAAACCGACUCCUUCAAAUUUAAGAUCGAAGUUAGGCAACGGGCACUUACCAGACGUGGUAUGCUGUCAACCAUCUGCUCAGUGUAUGACCCCCUAGGCUUCCUGGCACCAGUAACACUGCCUGCAAAGGUGAUGCAGCAGGAAUUAUGCCGAAGAGGAUGUGCAUGGGAUGAUGCCUUACCAUCUGACAUCUUAAAGCAAUGGAAAAUAUGGUUGGAAGACCUGGACCAGCUCAAUGCUUUUGAGGUACCAAGAUGCGUCAAGCCAGUGGACUUUGGUGAGGUUGCCCAAGCCCAGCUGCAUCACUUUGCUGACGCCAGUGAAGCUGGAUAUGGGACUGUUACAUACUUGAGGAUGUUGAACCAGCAACGUCACAUCCAAGUCUCCUUUCUGCUCGGCAAGGCUAGGGUGACACCAUUGAAGGCCAUCACUAUUCCACGACUGGAGUUAACAGCAGCAGUUCUUGCUGUAUGUGUAGACUCAAUGCUAAAGGUGGAACUAAAUUUUAGGUUGGAAGAUUCUGUCUUUUGGACAGAUAGUACUUCCGUCAUAAAGUACAUCAAGAAUGAGGAUAGACGGUUUCACACAUUUGUGGCUAAUAGAAUUUCAACCAUCCGAGAGGCAUCAGAACCCUGGCAAUGGAGGCAUGUCUGCUCCAAGGACAAUCCGGCUGAUGACGCAUCGAGGGGGUUGACGGCUGUAGACUUUCUACAGACCAGUAGGUGGUGGGAAGGUCCUACAUUUCUGUGGGAGCAGGAGGAGAACUGGCCUAAUACUGCCCUGGAUGCUUCAUUGAAUCCUGAUGACCAAGAGGUGAGAAGAGAGGCCACCACAAAUGUGAUCAAUGUGUGUGACUUAGUCAAGCCCACUGACCAGCUCGUUAGCUACUUUUCUGACUGGAGGAAGCUCAAGAGGACAGCCGCUUGGUUUCUCCAUUUGAAGGUAGUGUUGUUGGAAAAGGCUCGCUGGAGAAAACAGCUGAAGGGGCCUUUGGUAAUCCAGUCAGAGGAAACUAGUCGAUCCAGUUCAAGGCAGACUGAUGGGAAAGGGUUCACUGUGAUGCCUAGGAGUAAAACCCUGACUGUAGAUGACUUGUCAGAAGCAGAGGCUGCAGUGAUUAAAUAUUGCCAGCAGAAACGAUUUGAGGAGGAGAUUGCUUCAUUGUCCUCUAAGAAUGCAGCGGUGAGUCGUCAGAACCCAAUAUAUAGGCUGGACCCUGUCUUGGUUGAUGGUCUGUUGAGGGUUGGAGGGAGGCGAGAAGAGAGGCCACCACAAAUGUGA